rnacentral:rRNA from 1 species
AUUGAACGCUGGCGGCAGGCCUAACACAUGCAAGUCGAACGGUAACAGGAAACAGCUUGCUGUUUCGCUGACGAGUGGCGGACGGGUGAGUAAUGUCUGGGAAACUGCCUGAUGGAGGGGGAUAACUACUGGAAACGGUAGCUAAUACCGCAUAACGUCGCAAGACCAAAGAGGGGGACCUUCGGGCCUCUUGCCAUCGGAUGUGCCCUGAUGGGAUUAGCUAGUAGGUGGGGUAACGGCUCACCUAGGCGACGAUCCCUAGCUGGUCUGAGAGGAUGACCAGCCACACUGGAACUGAGACACGGUCCAGACUCCUACGGGAGGCAGCAGUGGGGAAUAUUGCACAAUGGGCGCAAGCCUGAUGCAGCCAUGCCGCGUGUAUGAAGAAGGCCUUCGGGUUGUAAAGUACUUUCAGCGGGGAUGAAGGGAGUAAAGUUAAUACCUUUGCUCAUUGACGUUACCCGCAGAAGAAGCACCGGCUAACUCCGUG